UCACAGGGGAGAUUGUGACAUACUGCUGGGCCCAGCAUUUGGUUAUGUGACUCUAUAUUCCUGUCUCGGAGUUACCCACAGAGGGCAAUGUGCCACAUCACUGGACCUUACAUCCAGGUUCUGCCCACAGGGAAGAUUGUGGUGAAUUACUGAACGCGAUACCUAGAUGAAGGAGAGACUAUAACAUACCUCUUGGCCCAGCACCUAGUUGAUGUAACUCUGCUCUCCUGCCUGGGCCACACCUACAGAAGAAAGAGUGACUUCUCACUGGGCCAGCACACAGGUCAUGUUAUUUUACUGCCUUGAUCCUUGUCCACAAUAAUCAUUGUACAUAGUUUUGGGCUCUUCUACUAGAAGACGUGCGGGAUGGUUAAAUAUCACUGGACCUAGCACCUAGGGAAUGUGACUCUUGUCUUUUGCAUCAGCCCCACUCGUUUUGAGAACUGUAACAUAUCACUGGGCCAAACACCUAGAAGAUGGGAAGUGUCUGCCUAUGCCCUGCAAACAGGGCUUUAGCCCUACCACUCUCAAGAGCCUCGUGACAUAUCUCUGCAUUCAUCAUCUAGGAGAUGUGACUCCUCCCUGCUGCCUGCGCUCUGCCUACAGGGAAGACCAUAACAACAUUUGGCCCAGCAACACGGUGAUGUGUUUUUUCCCAGGGCCUUGCUCACAGGGAGCAUUGUGACAUAUCACUGGAACCAGCAUCCAGGGCUGUGACUCUGUGUCCUGCUGUUAGAACAGGAUUGUAACAUAUCACUGACCAAGCACCCAGGUGAUGUGACUCUUCUGCCUGGUGCCUGCCUUCAGGGAAAAUUGUGACAUAUGCCUGGCCUAGCACCAAAGUGAUGUGGCUCUCCUGCUACCUCUAUGCACAGGUGGGAUUGUGACAUAUACCUUCAUUCAGCUCAUAGGUGAGGUGAUAACUCUCAUACCACAAACCAAACAGUAGGAGAGAUGCUGUCUGUCAAAGCUAAGCUUACAGAAAUACACAAGAUUCAGGGACUUUUCUUUGUAUAAACAUUAUAGUAGAUUACUGCUCUCUUGUAUAUAAUAUAAACUUCUCAGGUGGUACAGAGAGUGUCAUCACAGGGCCCAGCGCACAGGUGAGAAUACAUUAUUUGUAUGCACGCCCCACCACCCAUUAGGAUUUUCACCCUCAAACAUGGAAAGAGCCUACUGGUAAGGUCUUGAAUCUCACACCUGGAUGCAGUCUACAGUUGAAAUUGUGAUUGUCAUAGGUGAAUAUCCAGCUGCAGUUGAGAUGGUGACUCAUUUCUAACUUAGCUCUGAGGCAGGUGAGGACUGUUUUAUUUGGAACCAGCCAAUUAUAAAGAUGUUGACUCUCAUAUUUGAGCUUAGUUCUACAGGUACAAUCAUGGGUCCAUAACAUCAUGAAGGUCAUAGAGCAGUUUGCAACUCUCAUUAAUACUGUAGAAGGCUCUUGGGUGGUACUGAGAGGGUCUUAGCAGAGCCCCGCACACAGGUGAGAUUGUGACACUCAUAUGCACACCCAGCCAACAAUAAAACUUUUCAUCUUUCCACAUGAACACAGCCCACUGUUGAGGUCCUGAGUCUCCCUUGUGAAAACAGUGCAAAGUUGAAAAAUUGACUCUUAUAUGUGGAUUUGGUUCACAGAUGGGUUGGUGAUGCUCAGACAAAUAUUCAGCACACCUGUGAGUCUGCGACUCCAGUAAUCAUCCACAGUCUGCAGGAGAAAUUGAGGCUCUCACCAACAAAUCAAGUGCACAAUUGAGAUUGCGACUCUUGUACUCAGACCCAACAUACAGAAUGUGUUGACUCUCAAUUUUAAAACCAGAACAUGUGUGAGAUUAUUAAUCUGAUCUCUAAACCAUCCUGCAAGUGUGAUUGUGACACAAGUCUCUGUUCAGUACUUGAGUGAUUUGACUCCUUUGCCUGGGCCCAGUCCAAAGAUGUAAUUGUGACAUAUCACUGAAACCAGCAUAUAGGAGAUGUGUCUCCAUACUCCUGCCUUGGUGCUGCCCACAGUGGGCACUGUGACAUAUCACUGGGCCUUGUAUCCAAGUGAUGUAAGUCUCUUCUUUCUUGAUACUGACCACAGGAGACACUAUGACAUAUCCCUGGGCCUCAAGCUCAGCUUAUGUCAUUCUCCUAUUUGUUCUCUGUCCACAUGGGCCAUUGUGACAUACUGCUGAGUUUGGCAUCCAUGUGAUAUAACACUUCAGCCUCAGCUUUGCUCACUUGGGGCAUUGUGAUGUAUCUCUGCACCCAUCACUUAGAUGAUUCAACUCUUUUCUUCUGUCUCAUCUGUGCUUAAAACGGGCAAUUGUUACCUAUUGCUGGGUCCAGCAUGUAGCUGAUGUGUCUCUUCUCAUCUUCCUAAGGACUGCCUGCAGGGGAUAUGGUGACAUUUUACUUUGCCCAGCACCAAGAUGACUUGAAUCUGCUGCCUUUGUUCUACUUUCAGAAGACAUUGUGACAUAUCGCUGGGCCUAGCACCAAGGUGAUGUGAAUCUUCUGCCUGGACCUGCUCACAGAGGGAAUUGUUACAUAUUUUUGACUUCAUCAACUAUUUGAUGUGACUCUCCUCUCUAACCUGGGCCUUGCCCAUAAAAAACAUUGUGGCUUAUCUCUGGGCCCAAAACCUAGGUGAUGUGACUGUCUUCUUAGGGUCAUGCCCACAGUAGAGAGAUGCCUUAUUGCUAAACCCAGCACACAGGUGAGGUGAUUCUUCUGUCUGGUCCCUGCCCACAGGGGUCAUGAUGACAUCUCUCUAAGCCCAUCACCUAGAUUAUGUGAGUUCUCUUUUUCUUCUGUUAGCUAUAUAGAAGAUUGUGACAUAUUGCUUGGCCCAGACCUCAUGUGAUGUGAAUCUCCUCUCAUGCCUUGGUCCUGUUUUUUUUUGGCCGUUGUUGUUUUGUUUUGUUUUUUGAGAUGGAGUCUUGCUCUGUUGCCUAAGCUGGA
rnacentral:lncRNA from 1 species